UACAGAGACUGCAAGCGUUAUUCGGAUUCACUGGGCGUAAAGGGUGCGCAGGCGGCCGUGUGUGUUGGGCGUGAAAGCCUGGAGCUUAACUCCAGAAUUGCACUCAAAACUACACGGCUAGAGCAUUGGAGAGGGUAGCGGAAUUCACGGUGUAGCAGUGAAAUGCGUAGAUAUCGUGAGGAACACCAGAGGCGAAGGCGGCUACCUGGACAAUUGCUGACGCUCAGGCACGAAAGCGUGGGGAGCAAAAGGG
rnacentral:rRNA from 1 species